GCCAAGAUUAAAGCUGCUUUAACAGCAAUAAACAUUAAACUUUUGCUGAUUGAAACCACACAGAAAAUGGCUGAGAGCCUGCUGCAGGAAGCUGAGCUGCUCAGAGUGUGUGCUGUCCUCCUCACUGCUGAUUGGUUGGUUCUUUCCUUGUUCCUGUUUGAGCAGCUCCACCUCGUUCCUGUAGGCAUCCAGCUGGCAGCGCAGAGAGUCGUUCUCCUCCUUCAAGGCUUCUGCUUGGGAAACACCUACAGAUUCAUUCGGAGAAGAAGAACCCCUGGAGACUUUUAGACAAAGAAUCAUCCUCCUCCUUUUACAUUUGUGAACCAAAUGCAGAGUAUGAG